rnacentral:rRNA from 1 species
GUGCCAGCAGCCGCGGUAAGACGUAGGGUCCGAGCGUUGUCCGGAUUUACUGGGCGUAAAGAGCGCGUAGGCGGUCCGUUAAGUGUGAAGUGAAAUCUCCAGAGCUCAACUCGGAAACUGCUUUACAUACUGGCGGACUUGAGGAAUGCAGAGGUGAAUAGAAUUCCUGGUGUAGCGGUGAAAUGCGUAGAUAUCAGGAGGAAUACCCAUGGCGAAGGCAGUUCACUGGGCAUUAUCUGACGCUGAGGCGCGAAAGCGUGGGGAGCAAACAGGAUUAGAAACCCUAGUAGUCC